rnacentral:rRNA from 1 species
UACGGAGGGUGCAAGCGUUAUCCGGAUUCACUGGGUUUAAAGGGAGCGUAGGUGGGAUGGUAAGUCAGUGGUGAAAUCUCCGGGCUUAACUCGGAAACUGCCGUUGAUACUAUCAUUCUUGAAUAUUGUGGAGGUAAGCGGAAUAUGUCAUGUAGCGGUGAAAUGCUUAGAUAUGACAUAGAACACCGAUAGCGAAGGCAGCCUGCUACACAAUUAUUGACACUGAGGCUCGAAAAGCGUGGGGAUCAAACAGG